rnacentral:rRNA from 1 species
GAUGAACGCUGGCGGCGUGCCUAAUACAUGCAAGUCGAGCGAACGGACGAGAGGCUUGCUUCUCUGAUGUUAGCGGCGGACGGGUGAGUAACACGUGGAUAACCUACCUAUAAGACUGGGAUAACUUCGGGAAACCGGAGCUAAUACCGGAUGAUAUUUUGAACCGCAUGGUUCAAAAGUGAAAGACGGUCUUGCUGUCACUUAUAUAUGGAUCCGCGCUGCAUUAGCUAGUUGGUAAGGUAACGGCUUACCAAGGCAACGAUGCAUAGCCGACCUGAGAGGGUGAUCGGCCACACUGGAACUGAGACACGGUCCAGACUCCUACGGGAGGCAGCAGUAGGGAAUCUUCCGCAAUGGGCGAAAGCCUGACGGAGCAACGCCGCGUGAGUGAUGAAGGUCUUCGGAUCGUAAAACUCUGUUAUUAGGGAAGAACAUAUGUGUAAGUAACUGUGCACAUCUUGACGGUACCUAAUCAGAAAGCCACGGCUAACUACGUG